rnacentral:misc_RNA from 1 species
GGUUGGAUCAUUACCAAUUUUUUUGUAUUCCUUUUCUCUCCACACUACCUCUCUUCUCUUUGAGUUUGGGUGUGCGAGGAAAAGAAAUAUAUAAACACACUGUGAACUUGUAAUCGUUUUUUUGGUGGUUCCUUGAGGAGGGAAAGGGUUUAGUAGAGUAUUGUCUCUCUUCUCACUUUUUCUCCUUGCACCAAUUAGGGUGCGGUCCACCAAAAGGAAACCCCCCCUCAUUCAGAGGGUGCUGGUUUCUAUUCAAACCCAACUACUCUAGUCUUUUUUUAUUUUAAAGUCUUUUUUAUUCAAAGCCAAUUGAGAAACAACUUUUAACAACGGAUCUCUUGGCUCUCGCAACGAUGAAGAACGCAGCGAAAUGCGAUAAGUAAUGUGAAUUGCAGAACUUCGUGAAUCAUCAAAUCUUUGAACGCACAUUGCGCUCUAUGGAAACAUAGAGCAUGCCUGUUUGAGUAUCAUUUUAACCCACUCGCAGAUCUUUUUCUGUGGAUUUGAUAGUCUUGGAGUCCUUAUCUCUCUUCAAGUCUUUCGAAAAAUGAACUUCAAAAUUGGUUUCAGAGAAUUUUUCCCUGGACCCUCCAAUCGUACUUGAUUGUAUUCAGUCACGAUUGGUGUGUGAAUUCUUUUUUUGAAGAAGCGAACUUUGAAUGCUGUGGCAUUUUUUAUCGGUUCACAAAAACUCUUCAAACUAAAUUUUCUUUACAAAUUUUUGGUCUCAAAUCAGGCAAGACUACCCGCUGAACUUAAGCAUAUUAAUAAGCGGAGGAAAAGAAACUAACAAGGAUUCCCCUAGUAACGGCGAGUGAAGCGGGAACAGCUCAAAUUUGAAAUCUCCCUUUGCGGGGCGAAUUGUAGUUUAGAGAAGUGUUUUCUGGGGUAGCUCAGGCAUAGGUCCUUUGGAAAGAGGCGUCAUAGAGGGUGAGAACCCCGUCUGUGGCCUGAAGCCUACUCCUCUGCGAUACACUUUCAAAGAGUCGAGUUGUUUGGGAAUGCAGCUCAAAAUGGGUGGUAAAUACCAUCUAAAGCUAAAUAUUGGCGAGAGACCGAUAGCGAACAAGUACCGUGAGGGAAAGAUGAAAAGAACUUUGAAAAGAGAGUUAAACAGUACGUGAAAUUGUUAAAAGGGAAACGCUUGAAAUCAGUGUUGCAGCCCAGUAAUCAGCCAUCCAUAGGAACGGUGCACUUGCUGGGAGCAGGUCAGCAUCAGUUUGUUGCGGGGUAAAAAGCUGAGUACUCGAUCUUCGGAUUGGGUCUCAGUCAUGCCCUGCGAUAGACUGAGGACUGCUUUAUACAGGAUGCUGACGAAAUGGUUUUAAACGACCCGUCUUGAAACACGGACCAAGGAGUCUAACAAAUAUGCGAGUAUUCGGGUGGCAAACCCUUAUGCGCAAUGAAAGUGAAAAUGGUGGGAUCUUCGGUGCACCAUCGACCGGUCUGGAUUUUUUUGAUAGAUCUGAGUAAGAGCAUAUAUGUUAGGACCCGAAAGAUGGUGAACUAUGCCUGAAUAGGGUGAAGCCAGAGGAAACUCUGGUGGAGGCUCGUAGCGAUUCUGACGUGCAAAUCGAUCGUCAAAUUUGGGUAUAGGGGCGAAAGACUAAUCGAACCAUCUAGUAGCUGGUUCCCUC